AGGGCACGUGGUGGAUGCCUAGGCAGAAUAGACGAUGAAGGACGUGGCAGACUGCGUUAAGCCUCGGUGAGCCGUGAGCAGGCUUUGACCCGGGGAUAUCCGAAUGGGGCAACCGCCAAUUGCAGAGAUUGGAGCAUACGCGUGAAUACAUAGCCGUAUGCGGGCGACCCGGUGAAGUGAAACAUCUCAGUAACCGGAGGAAUAGAAAUCAACCGAGAUUCCCCCAGUAGCGGCGAGCGAAGGGGGAAGAGCCUAAACCGAACCGACGCGAUAGCUUGCAGGCGUUGUCGUUUCGGGGUUGCAGGGACUUUUGUGAGGGUGCUGCAACGCCCUCGUGGAGUAAGAAACCGUCGAAUUAGCAGAACUUAUCUGGGAAGUUAGGCCAUAGCGAGUGAAAGCCUCUUAUGCGAAAGUUCGUCGGCUCCAUAGAGAGUUACCUAAGUACUGCGGGGCACGUGGAACCCCGUGGGAAUCCGGGAGGACCAUCUUCCAAGGCUAAAUAUGAUAUUCUGACCGAUAGCGUUUAGUACCGUGAGGGAAAGCGUGAAAAGAACCCCGUGAGGGGAGUGAAAUAGAACCUGAAACCGCGUGCUUACGAGCCGUUAGAGGCCUAUAGUUUACUGGGCUGAUAGCGUGCCUUUCGUAGAAUGAGCCGGCGACUUACUGUAUGGGGCGAGGUUAAGCACCUGAGGGUGCGUAUCCGCAGCGAAAGCGAGUCUGAAUAGGGCGUUUAGUCCGAUGCAGUAGACCCGAAGCCAGAUGACCUAUCUAUGACCAGGGUGAAGCGCAUUUAGUCGUGCGUGGAGGCCCGAACCGGUGAUUGUUGCAAAAAUUUCGGAUGAGUUGUGGAUAGCGGUGAAAUGCCAAUCGAAUCUGGUGAUAGCUGGUUCUCCCCGAAAUAGCUUUAGGGCUAGCGUCGUGUGUUGAUUAUCUGGGGUAGAGCACUGACUGAGCUAGGGGCCUUGAUCGGUUACCGACCUCUAUCAAACUCCGAAUACAGAUGAAUAGAGCACGGCAGUCAGACAGUGGGGGAUAAGCUUCAUUGUCAAGAGGGAAAGAGCCCAGACCGACCGCUAAGGUCCCGGAGUGACAGCUAAGUGGAAAAGGAAGUAUUACUUCAUAGACAGCCAGGAGGUUGGCUCAGAAGCAGCCACCCUUUAAAGAGUGCGUAAUAGCUCACUGGUCGAGUUGUAGUGCGCCGAAAAUGUAACGGGGCUCAAGCUGUCCACCGAAGCGUCGGACUGCCGGUUUAGGCCGGCAGUGGUAGGGGAGCGUUCUGUAGGCCGAUGAAGGAGUACUGUGAGGAACUCUGGAGGUAUCAGAAGUGCGAAUGUCGGCAUAAGUAGCGUAAAGAGAUGUGGGAAUCAUCUCCGCCGAAAGUCUAAGGUUUCCUGGGCCAGGGUUAUCCUCCCAGGGUAAGGCGGGACCUAAGCCGAGGGCGACAGCCGUAGGUGAUGGCAAGCCGGUUCAUAUUCCGGCCCUAGACAGACUUGUUUGAGCGAAGGAGUGACGCAGGAAGGUAUGUUUACCCGGUGUUGGUUUACCGGGGCUAAGGGUGUACGCAGCAGCGCAGGCAAAUCCGUGCUGCAUAGAGUGCCGAGACCUGAUGGCGAGGCCUUGAUGGCCGAAGUAACAAAUCCUACACUGCCUGGAAAAGCUUCUAGCGAGAGUUUGUUUACCCGUACCGCAAACCGACACUGGUGGACAGGUUGAAAAUACUAAGGCGGCGAGGUAAUCCUUCUUAAGGAACUCGGCAAAUUGACCCCGUAACUUUGGGAUAAGGGGUGCCAUGAGAUGUGAAGUCCCGUGCGGACGGAGCGUAGAGUGGUCGCAGAGAAUAGGCCCAACCGACUGUUAACCAAAAACAUAGGUCUCUGCCAAGCCGCAAGGCGACGUAUAGGGGCUGACGCCUGCCCGGUGCUGGAACGUUAAGAGGAGAGCUUAGGGGUUUACUCCGAAGGUUUGAUUUGAAGCGCCAGUAAACGGCGGCCGUAACUAUAACGGUCCUAAGGUAGCGAAAUUCCUUGUCAGGUAAGUUCUGACCUGCACGAAUGGCGUAACGAGUUGGGCACUGUCUCAAGAAGGAUCUCGGCGAAAUUGCAAACUCAGUGAAGAUGCUGAGUACCCGCAGCAAGACGGAAAGACCCCGUGGAGCUUUACUGUAGCUUGAUGUUGAUUUUUGGUUAUUUUUGUACAGGAUACGUGGGAGACUUAGAUGCAUGCUGGCCAAGGUAUGCGGAGUCGUCGUUGGGAUACCACGCUAGAAUGUCUGGGAAUCUAACCUUGUCCCUGAUCGGGAUGAGGGACAGCGUCUGGUGGGCAGUUUGACUGGGGCGGUUGCCUCCCAAAGAGUAACGGAGGCGUUCAAAGGUUCCCUCCGGCUGGUUGGACAUCAGCCAUAGAGUGCAAGCGCAGAAGGGAGCUUGACUGCGAGACGUACAUGUCGAGCAGAGUGGAAACACGGAGCUAGUGAUCCGGCGGUGCCGAAUGGAAGGGCCGUCGCUUAUCGGAUAAAAGCUACCCCGGGGAUAACAGGCUUAUCACGCCCAAGAGUCCAUAUCGACGGCGUGGUUUGGCACCUCGAUGUCGGCUCAUCGCAUCCUGGGGCUGUAGUCGGUCCCAAGGGUUGGGCUGUUCGCCCAUUAAAGCGGUACGUGAGCUGGGUUCAGAACGUCGUGAGACAGUUCGGUCCCUAUCUGCUGUGGGCGUAGGAUAUUUGAGGGGUUCUGUUCCUAGUACGAGAGGACCGGAAUGGACAGACCUCUGGUGAACCGGUUGUGAUGCCUUUUGCAGAGCCGGGUAGCUAUGUUUGGACCAGAUAAACGCUGAAAGCAUCUAAGCGUGAAACUGACCCCGAGAUAAGAUAUCCCAUUCCGUGAGGAAGUAAGACUCCAGGAAGACGACCUGGUUGA
rnacentral:rRNA from 1 species